rnacentral:rRNA from 1 species
AGAGUUUGAUCAUGGCUCAGGAUGAACGCUAGCUACAGGCUUAACACAUGCAAGUCGAGGGGCAGCAGCAGAGUUAGCUUGCUAACUUUAGAUGGCGACCGGCGGAUGGGUGAGUAACACGUAUCCAACCUACCCUUUACAGGAGGAUAGCCUUUCGAAAGAAAGAUUAAUACCCUAUGUUCCGUGAGUUCCGCAUGGGAAUCACGGCAAAGAUUUAUCGGUAAAGGAUGGGGAUGCGUUCCAUUAGGUAGUAGGCGGGGUAACGGCCCACCUAGCCCGCGAUGGAUAGGGGUUCUGAGAGGAAGGUCCCCCACAUUGGAACUGAGACACGGUCCAAACUCCUACGGGAGGCAGCAGUGAGGAAUAUUGGUCAAUGGGCGCGAGCCUGAACCAGCCAAGUAGCGUGCAGGAAGACGGCCCUAUGGGUUUGUAAACUGCUUUUGAAGGGGAAUAACGUGCGCCACGCGUGGUGCAGUGCAUGUACCUUUCGAAUAAGGAUCGGCUAACUCCGUGCCAGCAGCCGCGGUAAUACGGAGGAUCCGAGCGUUAUCCGGAUUUAUUGGGUUUAAAGGGUGCGUAGGCGGAUGAUUAAGUCAGCUGUGAAAUACCGUCGCUCAACGGCGGCACUGCAGUUGAAACUGGUUGUCUUGAGAGUGCAAGAGGCAUGCGGAAUUCAUGGUGUAGCGGUGAAAUGCAUAGAUAUCAUGAAGAACCCCGAUUGCGAAAGCAGCAUGCUGGGGCAUAUCUGACGCUGAGUCACGAAAGUGCGGGUAUCAAACAGGAUUAGAUACCCUGGUAGUCCGCACAGUAAACGAUGAAUACUAGCUGUAGGCGAUAGACGGUCUGCGGCGCAAGCGAAAGCGUUAAGUAUUCCACCUGGGGAGUACGCCGGCAACGGUGAAACUCAAAGGAAUUGACGGGGGCCCGCACAAGCGGAGGAACAUGUGGUUUAAUUCGAUGAUACGCGAGGAACCUUACCCGGGCUUGAAUUGCAGAGGAAUGGUGGAGAGAUCCGUCAGCCGCAAGGUCUCUGUGAAGGUGCUGCAUGGUUGUCGUCAGCUCGUGCCGUGAGGUGUCGGCUUAAGUGCCAUAACGAGCGCAACCCUUAUCUUCAGUUACUAACGCUUCGGGCGAGGACUCUGGAGAGACUGCCGUCGUAAGAUGCGAGGAAGGCGGGGAUGACGUCAAAUCAGCACGGCCCUUACGUCCGGGGCUACACACGUGUUACAAUGGGGGGUACAGAAGGCAGCUACCGUGCGAGCGGCGGCUAAUCCCGAAAGCCUCUCCCAGUUCGGACUGGAGUCUGCAACCCGACUCCACGAAGCUGGAUUCGCUAGUAAUCGCGCAUCAGCCAUGGCGCGGUGAAUACGUUCCCGGGCCUUGUACACACCGCCCGUCAAGCCAUGGGAGCCGGGAGUGCCUGAAGCCCGUAACCGCGAGGAGCGGGUUAGGGUAAGACCGGUGACUGGGGCUAAGUCGUAACAAGGUAGCC